rnacentral:lncRNA from 1 species
UGCAGACCGUUUUGGAGGAGGGUGUCUUUUGUUGGGAUUACAUUUUUUAGAGAGGGUAGGGGACCCCCAGCUGAGAGCGGGAUGCCGUCCGCAUGAAGCGGGUAGCAACAGUGAGGGUAGUUGGGCAGGCCAUACUGGCUGAUGCAUGAACAUGAGGCAGGUGGUGACUUGCUAAGGAAGGUGAUUCCAAGAAGGAGACCAUAAAAACGAAAAAUGAGAGAGAUGAGGUUUUGAGAAAGGAAGGGGAGACAGCAUUGUGGGGGAACGGAGGAGUUUUUCUGAGAGUUUUGAGGAAAAGAGUAUUGGUUGAACUUGAGUCGGAAGCUAAGAACAGAGGAGCGUAGAGUUGCUGGGAAGAGCCAGAGACGCCUAGCUGGAGAAGAAGCUUUCAGGUAUGACUAUCACUCUUUUACAUCUCUUGUGAAUAUUUGAAUACUCAUUGAUCUGUUUAAGGUGGAUAAUGAAGGCCACCAGUCUGCUUGUUGAAGUAUGACCCUGCAUUUGUGUUUGCCAUUGUCCACUUUAACUUGCUUUGAUCCUACUGUGAUUAGGAAAUGCUUGAGAAUCAUGAGGGUGGUUGCAUUUGAUAUGGUUUACCCACCUGCUCAGAAGAUUCAUGGAUGAUUCAUGAAAUGGAUUUUCUGAGAUUUUUUUCUUUAUUUAUUCGUCUUCUUUCACGCUCUGUUUCUCUACUUCCCCUGUUUCUUGAUAUCCGUCCAUGGUACGCAUCCAUUUUCUCAUCCCUGCUCGAAAGAGAUCCUAGAAAAUCUGGAGUAGUUGUCAUGGCAGCAAAGCUCACCUCAUCAAGCAUCCUCCAUCACACCCAUUUUCCUCUCAUCCAUUCUCCACCCCACUCCCUCGUGUACAUGGAGUCUCACGAGUGCACGCUAUCCUUCACUCCUUCACAUACCCAUUAAAACCACUCACCCAAGCCUCCAUAUCCAUACAACCCAUACCUAUCCUUUAUGCUACUCAUAACUACGCUCUACCUAAUCCGGAUGUCUCACAUCCGGAAUUCUGUCCGGCCAACGUUCCACUCGGACGGAAAUUCUCACUCAUUCCACCUGGAUAUUCACAGCCGCCAUUACCAACAUUCCACCUUCUCCGGAUGUAUCACAUCCGGAAUUCUGCCCGACCAACGUUCUACCUUAUCCGGGUAUCUCACAUCCGGAAUUCUUCUCCGCCGACAUUCCACCCGGAUAUUCACAACCGUCAUUCUGUCCGGCCAACAUUCCACCUUCUUCAGAUGUAUCACAUCCGGAAUUCUGCCCCCCCCCAACGUUCUACCUUAUCCGGGUAUCUCACAUCCGGAAUUCUUCUCCGCCGACAUUCCACCCUGAUAUUCACAGCCGCCAUUCUGUCCGACCAACAUUCCACCUUCUCCGGAUGUCUCAUAGCCGCCAUUCUGCCCGGCCAACAUUCUACCUUAUUUGGAUGUCUCACAUCCGGAUCUGAAGGUCAAUUUCUUUCCACCUCGUGACCUUAAGCAUGUCCACCUGUGCAUGGCCGCCUUCCCCAAGUCCAACUGUGUAAAUGUUUUCUCUAAUUCAGGUUAUUUCAAAAUAAUUUCAAAUCAUCAAAAUUUUCUAUCCUUCAUCCUUAGCAUUUUUCUUUAGGUUUCAAAAGUCCACUUUUCAGUAUGACUUUGCUGCCAUUUUUUUCUUUCUGGCAG